rnacentral:rRNA from 1 species
ACGCUCGACACCUACGGGAGCAGCAGUGGGGAAUAUUGCACAAUGGGGGAAACCCUGAUGCAGCGACGCCGCGUGAGCGAAGAAGUAUUUCGGUAUGUAAAGCUCUAUCAGCAGGGAAGAAAAUGACGGUACCUGACUAAGAAGCCCCGGCUAACUACGUGCCAGCAGCCGCGGUAAUCUGAGGCGGGCGUGGACGAAGGC